AGAGUUUGAUCAUGGCUCAGAUUGAACGCUGGCGGCAUGCUUUACACAUGCAAGUCGAACGGUAACAGGGAGCUUGCUCCGCUGACGAGUGGCGAACGGGUGAGUAAUGCAUCGGAACGUACCCAGUCGUGGGGGAUAACGUAGCGAAAGUUACGCUAAUACCGCAUACGUCCUGAGGGAGAAAGCGGGGGACCGUAAGGCCUCGCGCGAUUGGAGCGGCCGAUGUCGGAUUAGCUAGUUGGUAGGGUAAAGGCCUACCAAGGCGACGAUCCGUAGCGGGUCUGAGAGGAUGAUCCGCCACACUGGGACUGAGACACGGCCCAGACUCCUACGGGAGGCAGCAGUGGGGAAUUUUGGACAAUGGGCGAAAGCCUGAUCCAGCCAUGCCGCGUGAGUGAAGAAGGCCUUCGGGUUGUAAAGCUCUUUCAGCCGGAAAGAAAUCGCGCAGGAUAAUACUCUGCGUGGAUGACGGUACCGGAAGAAGAAGCACCGGCUAACUACGUGCCAGCAGCCGCGGUAAUACGUAGGGUGCGAGCGUUAAUCGGAAUUACUGGGCGUAAAGCGUGCGCAGGCGGUUAUGUAAGACAGAUGUGAAAUCCCCGGGCUCAACCUGGGAACUGCGUUUGUGACUGCAUAACUAGAGUACGGCAGA
rnacentral:rRNA from 1 species